CGGGGGGAGCAAGCGUUGUUCGGAUUUACUGGGCGUAAAGGGCGCGUAGGCGGCGUAACAAGUCACUUGUGAAAUCUCCGGGCUUAACCCGGAGCGGCCAAGUGAUACUGUUGUGCUAGAGUGCGGAAGGGGCUACUGGAAUUCUCGGUGUAGCGGUGAAAUGCGUAGAUAUCGAGAGGAACACCUGCGGCGAAGGCGGGUAGCUGGGCCGACACUGACGCUGAGGCGCGAAAGCCAGGGGAGCGAACGGGAUUAGAUACCCCGGUAGUCCUGGCCUUAAACGAUGGAUGCUUGGUGUCCGAGGUUACAUAGUCCUCGGGUGCCGGCGCUAACGCAUUAAGCAUCCCGCCUGGGGAGUACGGUCGCAAGACUG
rnacentral:rRNA from 1 species